CUACGGGUUGCUGCAGUAAGGAAUAUUGGUCAAUGGGCGAAAGCCUGAACCAGCCAUGCCGCGUGAGUGAAGACGGCCUUCGGGUUGUAAAACUCUUUUCUAAGGGAAGAACCAGCAGGACAGGAAAUGGUCCCGCUCUGACGGUACCUUAGGAAUAAGGAACGGCUAACUCCGUGCCAGCAGCCGCGGUAAUACGGAGGUUCCAAGCGUUGUUCGGAUUUACUGGGCGUAAAGGGAGCGCAGGCGGAAGGGUCAGUCUGAAGUGGAAUCCCGGGGCUCAACCUCGGACGUGCUUUGGAUACUGCCCUUCUUGAGUCCGUGAGAGGAAAGCGGAAUUCAGGGUGUAGCGGUGAAAUGCUUAGAUAUCCUGAGGAACACCAAUGGCGAAAGCAGCUUUCUGGCACGUGACUGACGCUGAGGCUCGAAAGCGUGGGGAGCGAACGGGAUUAGAUACCCUCGUAGUC
rnacentral:rRNA from 1 species